rnacentral:rRNA from 1 species
CAAGGAAUUUUCCCCAAUGGGCGCAAGCCUGAGGGAGCAACGCCGCGUGGAGGACGACGGCCUUCGGGUUGUAAACUCCGUUUGGGUGGGACGAUGAUGACGGUACCACCCGAAUAAGCCCCGGCUAACUCCGUGCCAGCAGCCGCGGUAAGACGGAGGGGGCAAGCGUUGUCCGGACUUACUGGGCGUAAAGCGUCCGUAGGCGGUCUUGUGCGUCGGUGCUGAAAGCGCCCGGCUCAACCGGGCGAGGCGUGCCGAUACGAUGAGACUCGAGGUCGGGAGAGGGGGGCGGAAUGCCGGGUGUAGUGGUGAAAUGCGUAGAGAUCCGGCGGAACGCCAGUGGCGCAAGCGGCCCCCUGGCCCGACCCUGACGCUGAGGGACGAAAGCGUGGGGAGCGAACCGGAUUAGAUACCCGCGUAGUCC